rnacentral:rRNA from 1 species
GAUGAACGCUGGCGGCGUGCCUAAUACAUGCGAGUCGAGCGAACAGACGAGGAGCUUGCUCCUCUGACGUUAGCGGCGGACGGGUGAGUAACACGUGGAUAACCUACCUAUAAGACUGGGAUAACUUCGGGAAACCGGAGCUAAUACCGGAUAAUAUAUUGAACCGCAUGGUUCAAUAGUGAAAGACGGUUUUGCUGUCACUUAUAGAUGGAUCCGCGCCGCAUUAGCUAGUUGGUAAGGUAACGGCUUACCAAGGCAACGAUGCGUAGCCGACCUGAGAGGGUGAUCGGCCACACUGGAACUGAGACACGGUCCAGACUCCUACGGGAGGCAGCAGUAGGGAAUCUUCCGCAAUGGGCGAAAGCCUGACGGAGCAACGCCGCGUGAAUGAUGAAGGUCUUCGGAUCGUAAAACUCUGUUAUUAGGGAGGAACAAAUGUGUAAGUAACUAUGCACGUCUUGACGGUACCUAAUCAGAAAGCCACGGCUAACUACGUG